GGUUUYUUGUUUWAUUAAGAAAUCUAACCUGCCCACUGAAGAUAAAUUUUGAAGGGCCGCAGUAUUUUGACUGUGCGAAGGUAGCAUAAUCAUUAGUCUUUUAAUUGGAGGCUUGUAUGAAUGGUUGGACGAAGUAAAUACUGUUUUAUAUUAAUUUAUAAAUUGAAUUUGGAAUUUGAGUAAAAAUACUUAAAUUUUAUUAAGGGACGAGAAGACCCUAUAGAGUUUAAUAUAUAUAUAUUAUUUUAGUCAUAGUUAAAAAAAAAUUUUUGGUUAAUUAUUAAGUAUAUUUGAUUGGGGUGAUUAAUAAAUAAGAAAAACUUUUUUUUUUUAAUGGAAAUGUUAUGUGUAGUUAUUGGAUCCAUUAAUAAUAAUGAUUAUAAGAUUAAAUUACCUUAGGGAUAACAGCAUAAUUCUUUUUGAGAGUUCAUAUUGAGAAAGGAGAUUGUGACCUCGAUGUUGGAUUAAGAUAAGUUUUGGGUGUAGAUGUUCAAAAACUAGGUCUGU
rnacentral:rRNA from 1 species